CUAGUUGGUGAGGUAACGGCCCACCAAGGCGAUGAUGGCUAGCUGGUCUGAGAGGAUGGCCAGCCACACUGGGACUGAAACACGGCCCAGACUCCUACGGGAGGCAGCAGUGGGGGAUAUUGCGCAAUGGGCGAAAGCCUGACGCAGCGACGCCGCGUGGGUGAUGAAGGCCUUCGGGUCGUAAAGCCCUGUCGAGGGGAAAGAAACGGCUCCGACCUAACACGUCGGGGUCCUGACGGUACCCCUAAAGGAAGCACCGGCUAACUCCGUGCCAGCAGCCGCGGUAAUACGGAGGGUGCAAGCGUUGUUCGGAAUCACUGGGCGUAAAGGGCGUGUAGGCGGUUCGCUAAGUCUGAUGUGAAAGCCCGGGGCUCACCCCCGGAAGUGCAUUGGAAACUGGCGGACUCGAGUCCCGGAGAGGAGGGUGGAAUUCCUGGUGUAGCGGUGAAAUGCGUAGAUAUCAGGAGGAACACCGGUGGCGAAGGCGGCCCUCUGGACGGUGACUGACGCUAAGACGCGAAAGCGUGGGGAGCAAACAGGAUUAGAUACCCUGGUAGUCCACGCUGUAAACGAUGAGCACUAGGUGUCGUGGGUAUUGACCCCCGCGGUGCCGCAGCUAACGCAUUAAGUGCUCCGCCUGGGGACUACGGCCGCAAGGUUAAAACUCAAAGGAAUUGACG
rnacentral:rRNA from 1 species